AGGGUUCAGAGAAGGGCUACUAAACUGGUUCAUGGAUUGCGGUAUAAAAUUUACCAGGAAAGAUUAAAUGUUCUUAUCAUGUAUAGCUUGGAGGAAAGACGAGAUGGGGGGAUAUGAUAGAAACAUUUAAAUAUAUAAAGGGAAUCAACACAGUAAAGGAGGAGACUAUAUUUAAAAGAAGAAAAACCACCACAACAAGAGGACAUAGUCUUAAAUUAGAGGGACAAAGGUUUAAAAAUAAUAUCAGGAAGUAUUACUUUACUGAGAGGGUAGUGGAUGCAUGGAAUAGCCUUCCAACU